ACCUGAAACCGUGUACGUACAAGCAGUGGGAGCCUCUUAAUGGGGUGACUGCGUACCUUUUGUAUAAUGGGUCAGCGACUUAUAUUCUGUAGCAAGGUUAACCGAAUAGGGGAGCCGAAGGGAAACCGAGUCUUAACUGGGCGUUAAGUUGCAGGGUAUAGACCCGAAACCCGGUGAUCUAGCCAUGGGCAGGUUGAAGGUUGGGUAACACUAACUGGAGGACCGAACCGACUAAUGUUGAAAAAUUAGCGGAUGACUUGUGGCUGGGGGUGAAAGGCCAAUCAAACCGGGAGAUAGCUGGUUCUCCCCGAAAGCUAUUUAGGUAGCGCCUCGUGAAUUCAUCUCCGGGGGUAGAGCACUGUUUCGGCAAGGGGGUCAUCCCGACUUACCAACCCGAUGCAAACUGCGAAUACCGGAGAAUGUUAUCACGGGAGACACACGGCGGGUGCUAACGUCCGUCGUGAAGAGGGAAACAACCCAGACCGCCAGCUAAGGUCCCAAAGUCAUGGUUAAGUGGGAAACGAUGUGGGAAGGCCCAGACAGCCAGGAUGUUGGCUUAGAAGCAGCCAUCAUUUAAAGAAAGCGUAAUAGCUCACUGGUCGAGUCGGCCUGCGCGGAAGAUGUAACGGGGCUAAACCAUGCACCGAAGCUGCGGCAGCGACACUAUGUGUUGUUGGGUAGGGGAGCGUUCUGUAAGCCUGUGAAGGUGUACUGUGAGGU
rnacentral:rRNA from 1 species